UCCGCAGUAGUAUAAUGGUAGUACGCGACCUUGCCAAGGUUGUGGCGCGAGUUCGAUUCUCGUCUGCGGGAC
rnacentral:tRNA from 3 species